rnacentral:rRNA from 1 species
AUUGAACGCUGGCGGAAUGCUUUACACAUGCAAGUCGAACGGCAGCACGGACUUCGGUCCGGUGGCGAGUGGCGAACGGGUGAGUAAUGUAUCGGAACGUGCCCAGUCGUGGGGGAUAACGUAGUGAAAAUUACGCUAAUACCGCAUACGAUCUACGGAUGAAAGCGGGGGACCGUAAGGCCUCGCGCGAUUGGAGCGGCCGAUGUCAGAUUAGGUAGUUGGUGAGGUAAAGGCUCACCAAGCCGACGAUCUGUAGCUGGUCUGAGAGGACGACCAGCCACACUGGGACUGAGACACGGCCCAGACUCCUACGGGAGGCAGCAGUGGGGAAUUUUGGACAAUGGGCGCAAGCCUGAUCCAGCCAUUCCGCGUGCAGGACGAAGGCCUUCGGGUUGUAAACUGCUUUUGUACGGAACGAAAAGGCUCUGGUUAAUACCUGGGGCUCAUGACGGUACCGUAAGAAUAAGCACCGGCUAACUACGUGCCAGCCGCCGCGGUAA